GACGAACGCUGGCGGCGUGCUUAACACAUGCAAGUCGAGCGGUAAGGCCUUUCGGGGUCCACGAGCGGCGAACGGGUGAGUAACACGUGGGUGAUCUGCCCUGCACUUCGGGAUAAGCCUGGGAAACUGGGUCUAAUACCGGAUAUGACCUCCUAUCGCAUGGUGGGUGGUGGAAAGAUUUAUCGGUGCAGGAUGGGCCCGCGGCCUAUCAGCUUGUUGGUGGGGUAAUGGCCUACCAAGGCGACGACGGGUAGCCGACCUGAGAGGGUGACCGGCCACACUGGGACUGAGACACGGCCCAGACUCCUACGGGAGGCAGCAGUGGGGAAGAGUGCACAAUGGGCGAAAGCCUGAUGCAGCGACGCCGCGUGAGGGAUGACGGCCUUCGGGUUGUAAACCUCUUUCAGCAGGGACGAAGCGCAAGUGAGGGUACCUGCAGAAGAAGCACCGGCUAACUACGUG
rnacentral:rRNA from 1 species